ACCAUGCAAGUCGAACGAUGAAGCCUUUCGGGGUGGAUUAGUGGCGAACGGGUGAGUAACACGUGGGCAAUCUGCCCUUCACUCUGGGACAAGCCCUGGAAACGGGGUCUAAUACCGGAUAACACUCUGUCCCGCAUGGGACGGGGUUAAAAGCUCCGGCGGUGAAGGAUGAGCCCGCGGCCUAUCAGCUUGUUGGUGGGGUAAUGGCCUACCAAGGCGACGACGGGUAGCCGGCCUGAGAGGGCGACCGGCCACACUGGGACUGAGACACGGCCCAGACUCCUACGGGAGGCAGCAGUGGGGAAUAUUGCACAAUGGGCGAAAGCCUGAUGCAGCGACGCCGCGUGAGGGAUGACGGCCUUCGGGUUGUAAACCUCUUUCAGCAGGGAAGAAGCGAAAGUGACGGUACCUGCAGAAGAAGCGCCGGCUAACUACGUGCCAGCAGCCGCGGUAAUACGUAGGGCGCAAGCGUUGUCCGGAAUUAUUGGGCGUAAAGAGCUCGUAGGCGGCUUGUCACGUCGGAUGUGAAAGCCCGGGGCUUAACCCCGGGUCUGCAUUCGAUACGGGCUAGCUAGAGUGUGGUAGGGGAGAUCGGAAUUCCUGGUGUAGCGGUGAAAUGCGCAGAUAUCAGGAGGAACACCGGUGGCGAAGGCGGAUCUCUGGGCCAUUACUGACGCUGAG
rnacentral:rRNA from 1 species